rnacentral:rRNA from 1 species
AUUGAACGCUGGCGGCAGGCUUAACACAUGCAAGUCGAGCGGAGAUGAGGUGCUUGCACCUUAUCUUAGCGGCGGACGGGUGAGUAAUGCUUAGGAAUCUGCCUAUUAGUGGGGGACAACAUUCCGAAAGGAAUGCUAAUACCGCAUACGUCCUACGGGAGAAAGCAGGGGAUCUUCGGACCUUGCGCUAAUAGAUGAGCCUAAGUCGGAUUAGCUAGUUGGUGGGGUAAAGGCCUACCAAGGCGACGAUCUGUAGCGGGUCUGAGAGGAUGACCCGCCACACGGGGACUGGGACGCGGCCCAGACUCCUACGGGAGGCAGCAGUGGGGAAUCUUGGACAAUGUGGGGAACCCUGAUCCAGCCAUGCCGCGUGUGUGAAGAAGGCCUUAUGGUUGUAAAGCACUUUAAGCGAGGAGGAGGCUACUGAGACUAAUACUCUUGGAUAGUGGACGUUACUCGCAGAAUAAGCACCGGCUAACUCUGUGCCAGCCGCCGCAGUAACAC